rnacentral:rRNA from 1 species
UUGAGCAGCUGGGUGCAAUCGCAGUUGCAAAACCAUCCGGCCGAACUUUGGGAGGAUGGCAUGAAAGAUUACUUAUCCCAUGCUUCUGAAAUAAUGGAAAAUUUCAAGGAUGUUGUCAAUUGGCUUAGGCAGAAUAAAGCAGGUACGACAGCUGUUUCAUCCCCAAGUCCAGCCAAUGAGGAGAAGACUACUACGCCGGCAACUGUCAAUAGCAAGUUUAUGGUACAGCCAGGAUCAGAUAAUGGACAGAAGAGUCCAACUACAGGAGCCAGCUCCCUAGCUUUUCAGAACUCAAGCUCACCGAAUAUGUUCUCACUCCCUUCUCAGAAGAAAACAUCACCUUUUGGCGGUAUAACUAUUCACCAGUCUAACACGCCUGGCGAUAGCAGCAAAUCGACUUUCCAGUUUGGUGGAAAUAACGGCUUUUCAACACCAACUACCCCGUCCAUUUUUUCUACCACUGGUUCCAGUUUUAACAUGCCAGCCCCAACACUGUUUUCAAUGAACCAGCAACCAAUUUGCACUGGAAACAUGAAAGCUGCUGAAGCUUCAGCUGAUGCGGAUGAAGAUGCUGAAGCCGAGCAACCAAGCAGCCCUUCUGUAAAGAAAGCAGAAGAGAAAGGAAUAGUUGUUGUUCAUGAAGCCAAAUGCAAGGUGUAUGUGAAGCAUGAUGAUGCUACCAAGGGUUGGAAAGACAUUGGUGUCGGUCAGCUCUCUAUCAGAUGUAAAGAGGGUGCAGAGAAAGCUUCGAAAGAGUCCACCCCAACAGUUGUUAUCAGAAAUGAUGUUGGCAAAAUUCUUCUGAAUGCUAUGAUCUACAAGGGGAUAAAGAUGAGUGUUCAAAAGAACACAGUUGCCUCAAUAUUUCACACUUCAGAUGCGCAGUCUGAAUCAGAUGGUGGCAAUGUUGUAGCUCGAACAUACUUACUCCGACUGAAAAACGAAGAGGCGGCUACAAACUUGUCAGCGGUGAUCAAAGAGAACGCACCGCUGGACUGA